UACGUAGGGUCCAAGCGUUGUCCGGAUUUACUGGGCGUAAAGAGCGCGUAGGCGGCUUGAUAAGUGUGAUGUGAAAUCUCAGGGCUUAACCCGGAAACUGCACCACAGACUGUCAGGCUUGAGGAAUGCAGAGGUAACUGGAAUUCCUGGUGUAGCGGUGAAAUGCGUUGAUAUCAGGAGGAACACCGGUGGCGAAGGCGGGUCUCUGGGCCGUAACUGACGCUGAGGAGCGAAAGCAUGGGGAGCGAACAGG
rnacentral:rRNA from 1 species